rnacentral:misc_RNA from 1 species
AACGGUUUGCUCAACAUUAUGCUUGUCAUGUUUGGUUUGUAGCACAUCCCAGACAGUUACACAACUGGAUUGGGGGUCCUCCCAAUCUGUAUGAUAUAAGUGGCAGUGCCCACUUCAUAAACAAAUGCGACAAUGGGAUUGUUAUUCAUCGUAACAGGGAUCCAGAGGCUGGACCUAUUGAUCAAGUACAGGUUUGUGUUCGGAAGGUGCGAAAUAAGGUUGUUGGAACCAUAGGUGAUGCCUUUUUGUCCUAUAAUAGGGUAACUGGUGAAUUCAUGGAUAUUGUUUAAAUCACCUGGAAAGAAGACACGCAGUUAUGCAGUAUAUACUUGUAUAUUUUAUUAGGAGAGAGAGAGAGAGAUGAUGUCUUGUUGAAAUAUGCUUCCAA